UGUCUCAGACUAGCCAUGCACGUCUAGUACAAACUAAAUGAUGGUGAAACUGCAAAUGGCUCAUUACAACGGUUAUGAUGUACCCGGGAGUUCCGAUGGAUAUUUCCAGUAACACUAGAACUAAUACAUGUCCCUGCGUUUAUUAGUUUCGCACAGUCCGUCGCUGAGUCAUGGUAAACAGUUGAUCGACUCGACGUCCCGGAACAGUUUCCGCCCCAUCAGCUUCGAUGGUUGGGUAUUGGCCUACCAUUGCAACAACGGGUAACGAGGAAUUAGGGUUUGAUUUCGGAGAGGGAGCCUGAGAAACGGCUACCACAUCUACGGAUGGCAGCAGGCGCGCAAAUUACCCAAUGCAGACACUGUGAGGUAGUGACGAGAAAUAAUAAAGCGGGACUUCUGUUUCGCUAUUAUAAUGAGGAAUAACCAAAGGUCAUUCCGAUUAGCAACUGAUGGGAAAGUCUGGUGCCAGCAGCCGCGGUAAUACCAGCGUCAGUAGCAUA
rnacentral:rRNA from 1 species